UUGUUGCAUCGUUACGCCAGUAGGUGGCGUCAAGUGAGUGAAUCUUUGAAUCAUUCGAAUCAUGAAAUCAACCGAUUCAUUUAAUAGGAAUGAAACACUGCUCUGUGAUACUGGACGAUUGAUUGAAACAGUUCACUGGUGAAGCAAAAAUAUUCAGACUUAACUGUCAAUACUGUAUCUAAAAUGGCCUGUUCAUGCCUGUUGUUGUGCCCGUUUGUGGAUCUUUCUAUCAGGCUGGCGGAGUUCACAGUAGUCCUGGUCUGUCUUGGUUCCUCCGUCUGCGGAACCAGCGCUCCACCUGCCUUUCCGACCAGCCCAACUUUUUACACACACCUUUUAUAUUUGCCUAAGUACAUGGCAUACACAAAUAUUACUAAACACAUAAAUCUCAAAUGUCAAAAUGUACUGGCCCUACAAAACAUCUGUUAAUUUGUUGAAGACU